UACAGAGGGGGCAAGCGUUAUUCGGAAUUAUUGGGAGUAAAGAGUACGUAGGCGGAAUAGUGAGUUGGGGGUGAAAUCCCGGGGCUCAACCCCGGAACUGCCUCCAAAACUGCUGGUCUGGAGGUCGAGAGAGGCGAGUGGAAUUCCGAGUGUAGAGGUGAAAUUCGUAGAUAUUCGGAGGAACACCAGUGGCGAAGGCGGCUCGCUGGCUCGAUACUGACGCUGAGGUGCGAAAGCGUGGGGAGCAAACAGG
rnacentral:rRNA from 1 species